CUCUUCCUAUCUAUUAUGUUCAAAAUGAACAGAUCUCUUGUACGCACCGAUAUUUUGUCAUGUAUACUAAGCCGUUGAGUCAUCAUAUGUUGUUGUGCAGGGGUUGAGAAUUCAACUUUUUAGGAGAAAAAAACAAUAAAACUUGUCAUUUUAAAAACAA